GAUGAACGCUGGCGGCGUGCCUAAUACAUGCAAGUCGAGCGAAUGGAUUAAGAGCUUGCUCUUAUGAAGUUAGCGGCGGACGGGUGAGUAACACGUGGGUAACCUGCCCAUAAGACUGGGAUAACUCCGGGAAACCGGGACUAAUACCGGAUAACAUUUUGAACCGCAUGGUUCGAAAUUGAAAGGCGGCUUCGGCUGUCACUUAUGGAUGGACCCGCGUCGCAUUAGCUAGUUGGUGAGGUAACGGCUCACCAAGGCAACGAUGCGUAGCCGACCUGGGAGGGUGAGUGGGCACCCUGGGACUGAGACACGGCCCAGGCUCCUAGGGGAGGCGGCAGUAGGGAAUCUUCCGCAAUGGACGAAAGUCUGACGGAGCAACGCCGCGUGAGUGAUGAAGGCUUUCGGGUCGUAAAACUCUGUUGUUAGGGAAGAACAAGUGCUAGUUGAGUAAGCUGGCACCUUGACGGUACCUAACCAGAAAGCCACGGCUAACUACGUGCCAGCCGCCGCCGUAA
rnacentral:rRNA from 1 species